UAGCUAGUUGGUAGGGUAAUGGCCUACCAAGGCAACGAUGCAUAGCCGACCUGAGAGGGUGAUCGGCCACACUGGGACUGAGACACGGCCCAGACUCCUACGGGAGGCAGCAGUAGGGAAUCUUCCGCAAUGGACGAAAGUCUGACGGAGCAACGCCGCGUGUAUGAAGAAGGUUUUCGGAUCGUAAAGUACUGUUGUUAGAGAAGAACAAGGAUAAGAGUAACUGCUUGUCCCUUGACGGUAUCUAACCAGAAAGCCACGGCUAACUACGUGCCAGCAGCCGCGGUAAUACGUAGGUGGCAAGCGUUGUCCG
rnacentral:rRNA from 1 species